GAACAGCCGUUUUNCCUGCUUACCUAACACAUGCAAGUCGAGCGGAUGAAGGGAGCUUGCUCCUGGAUUCAGCGGCGGACGGGUGAGUAAUGCCUAGGAAUCUGCCUGGUAGUGGGGGAUAACGUCCGGAAACGGGCGCUAAUACCGCAUACGUCCUGAGGGAGAAAGUGGGGGAUCUUCGGACCUCACGCUAUCAGAUGAGCCUAGGUCGGAUUAGCUAGUUGGUGGGGUAAAGGCCUACCAAGGCGACGAUCCGUAACUGGUCUGAGAGGAUGAUCAGUCACACUGGAACUGAGACACGGUCCAGACUCCUACGGGAGGCAGCAGUGGGGAAUAUUGGACAAUGGGCGAAAGCCUGAUCCAGCCAUGCCGCGUGUGUGAAGAAGGUCUUCGGAUUGUAAAGCACUUUAAGUUGGGAGGAAGGGCAGUAAGUUAAUACCUUGCUGUUUUGACGUUACCAACAGAAUAAGCACCGGCUAACUUCGUGCCAGCAGCCGCGGUAAUACGAAGGGUGCAAGCGUUAAUCGGAAUUACUGGGCGUAAAGCGCGCGUAGGUGGUUCAGCAAGUUGGAUGUGAAAUCCCCGGGCUCAACCUGGGAACUGCAUCCAAAACUACUGAGCUAGAGUACGGUAGAGGGN
rnacentral:rRNA from 1 species